UGGAUUUUAUGUAAGUGAACAGUAUUUACACAAACAACACUCUGAGGAUGUUAUAGAAGUUGUCAUCAUUAUAAUUAGUGCUACACUGGUGAUAGUAAAGUCAACUUAAAAAAAAUAAAAAGUUAAAAUAAAAUCCUCCUUUAGAGAAUAUAAUAUGAAUAUGCAAAUAUAUUCAGUAAGCCUGAUUGAAAUGACAUCUGGGUUUUUUUUAAAUGUAUAGAUUUUAUUGCAGCAUGUUGCUGAGCAUAUGAAAAAUGAAGUCUCAAAUUCUAUGUGUAUGUAUCUUAGCUCCUUAGUAAUAGCAUUUUAACUUACCACUUGAAAAACAACCUUAAUGUAAGUUUGGAACAGAAAUUGCAAAUAACACAUUUUGAAUUUGUUGUUCUUAAUACAGUUUUGGAUAUUUACUAUCUGAAUUUGGUUGUGAUUGUUUGAAACUGCCUUAUUUUAUAAAAGUCUGCAUUGUUUUCAGUUGCAUUUUUGAGUAACUUAAUCUGUGUUCUCCUUAGUGGAAUAAUCUAAACUUCCACAGAAUACCUUUGUGUUAAGCACUUGUGCCCCUCCUUCAGAUUGUAGACCUUCAUUUUGAGCUGAUAUGGAUUUCAUUGGAACAAAGCUUUUUCUCCACAAAAUUAAGCCAAACAUUUUAGAAACAAUUUGAACUUCUAAUUUGAGUUUUUCAGGCUUACUUUGUUGAUUUAAUGUUUUUUUCUGUUAUUAUCUUUCAAACUUAGUGCUCAAUAAAUGGCAGAUGAACCCCUAUGACAGAGGAUCAGCUUUUGCAAUUGGAUCGGAUGGUUUGUGUUGUCAAAGCA